rnacentral:rRNA from 1 species
GACGAACGCUGGCGGCGUGCUUAACACAUGCAAGUCGAACGGAAAGGCCCUGCUUUUGUGGGGUGCUCGAGUGGCGAACGGGUGAGUAACACGUGAGUAACCUGCCCUUGACUUUGGGAUAACUUCAGGAAACUGGGGCUAAUACCGGAUAGGAGCUCCUGCUGCAUGGUGGGGGUUGGAAAGUUUCGGCGGUUGGGGAUGGACUCGCGGCUUAUCAGCUUGUUGGUGGGGUAGUGGCUUACCAAGGCUUUGACGGGUAGCCGGCCUGAGAGGGUGACCGGCCACAUUGGGACUGAGAUACGGCCCAGACUCCUACGGGAGGCAGCAGUGGGGAAUAUUGCACAAUGGGCGGAAGCCUGAUGCAGCAACGCCGCGUGCGGGAUGACGGCCUUCGGGUUAUAAACCGCUUUCGCCUGUGACGAAUCGUGAGUGACGGUAAUGGGUAAAGAAGCACCGGCUAACUACGUG